AGAGUUUGAUCAUGGCUCAGGAUGAACGCUGGCGGCGUGCUUAACACAUGCAAGUCGAACGAACCUUCGGGUUAGUGGCGGACGGGUGAGUAACGCGUGAGAAUCUGCCCUCAGGAGGGGGAUAACAGCUGGAAACGCUGCUAAUACCCCCUAUGCCGCGAGGUGAAAUGAAUUUCGCCUGAGGAUGAGCUCGCGUCUGAUUAGCUAGUUGGUGUAGGUAAUGGCUCACCAAGGCAUCGAUCAGUAUCUGGUCUGAGAGGAUGAUCAGCCACACUGGGGACUGAGACACGGCCCAGACUCCUACCGGAAGCAGCACUGGGGAAUUUUCC
rnacentral:rRNA from 1 species